rnacentral:lncRNA from 1 species
UGGGAGCUGUUUCAUUAAUAUUUCUUUAGAAUGGGCUCUGGGCCUUGGGAACAUUAACAUUUCAAUUUCCCAAGUGCUUCUUUGCUUUCCCAGGGCUCCAUUUUCAUUAUGGCCUUCAUUUUCGAUUUUACUCUAUAUUAGACCCGAUUUACCUAACUACACUAUCUACGUAUCUUUAAAUCUGGCUUCAGUGGGAUGCCAGCAGGUUCCCUUGAUGGUUUGACUGUGUCCCUUGUGGCUUUGAAACUUACAUGUUAUUUUUUUUCUUUUUCCCCUUCCCUAAACUUCUCCCUGAUCAUCUUUUCCCUAAACUUCUCCUCCCUGAUCAUCUUUUCCCUAGACUUCUCCUCCCUGAUCAUCUUUUCCCUAAACUUCUCCUCCCUGACCAUCUUUUCCCUAAACUUCUCCUCCCUGAUCAUCUUUUCCCUAAACUUCUCCUCCCUGAUCAUCUUUUCCCUAAACUUCUCCCUGAUCAUCCAUUCCCUAAACAACUUCUUUCCCAUCUCCUCCCUGAUCAGCUUUUUUUUUUUUUUGGUGGGGGGUACAAGGGCUUGAGUAUCAGGGUCACAGGACCACGGAGCCCCAUCCCCAGCCCUAUCUUGUGUUUUAUGUAGAGACAGGGUCUCUCUGAGUUGCUGAGCACCUCCCUUUGCUGAGGCUGGCUUUGAACUCCAAAGCCUCUGAGAUUACAGGCGAGUGCCACCCAGCCCGCUGCCUGAUUUUCUUUUCCCUGGCCUUCUCCUUGCUGAUCUCCACUCCCCUUAUUUUCUCUGAGCCACCUCUAUAAAAGCCCCUGGGGAUGGGCAGAAUCACAGCCUUUGGGACUGGAGUCCCCUGUGUUUCACCUUUGCUAGCAAAGCAAUAAACCUUUUUCCUUUUUCUCAAGAUCUUGUCUUGGUUAUUGGAUUGCCAUGGAGGCCCAGGACUCCAGCUUCCAGUUACAGAAGUUGUUAGCACAAAAGGACCUGGCCAGACUCAAAACUUCACGGAUCAUCUCAGCCUUUU